rnacentral:rRNA from 1 species
UGGGGAAUAUUGGACAAUGGGCGCAAGCCUGAUCCAGCCAUGCCGCGUGAGUGAUGAAGGCCCUAGGGUUGUAAAGCUCUUUCAGCGAGGAGGAUAAUGACGUUACUCGCAGAAGAAGCCCCGGCUAACUUCGUGCCAGCAGCCGCGGUAAUACGAAGGGGGCUAGCGUUGUUCGGAAUCACUGGGCGUAAAGCGCACGUAGGCGGACUUUUAAGUCAGGGGUGAAAUCCCGGGGCUCAACUUCGGAACUGCCUUUGAUACUGGAAGUCUGGAGUCCGAGAGAGGUGAGUGGAACUCCGAGUGUAGAGGUGAAAUUCGUAGAUAUUCGGAAGAACACCAGUGGCGAAGGCGGCUCACUGGCUCGGUACUGACGCUGAGGUGCGAAAGCGUGGGGAGCAAACAGGACUAGAUACCCUGGUAGUCCACGCCGUAAAACGAUGGAAGCUAGCCGUCAGGGUGCAUGCAUCUUGGUGGCGCAGUUAACGCAUUAAGCUUCCCGCCUGGGGAGUACGGUCGCAAGAUUAAAACUCAAAUGAAUUGACGGGGUCAUAGCUGUUUCCU